UCAAACAGCCUUUAAAAAGGAGGUUCAAGUAUUUUGCGAUGCAUUUAUCAGUGUGUACAUAUUUGGAUUGUGAUUUUAGUCAGAAGAAGAGUAAGUUUAGACUAAACUAUGGACUUAUAAGACAUUAUGAAAAGUCCAUUAACACAAUGGUAUUAUAUAAUUUAUGUUUUUGACAACCACAAGUUCUGCUGUUUAAAGGUGAAAACUAGGACACUAUUCAAUAAAAACAAACUAUUUUGAUUACAAAAAAUAUAAGGAGCUGUUAUAAGAUAUAAUAUAAUCGAGUAUCAAAAUCAUGGCAGUGUCAGAUCGGAAGGUUUCUGAUUUUCGUGGAUCGGUAUCUAAAGGUUCAACAGAGGAUUUUGACAAAAACUGUGAACCGUGCCUAGCUACUGGUCAGUAUAUGCAAGCCCAUGGAUUUUGUGUGGACUGUCAAGAAUAUGUGUGUAAAAAAUGCUUUGCUUAUCACCAACGGAUAAAAGCUACACAACAUCAUAAUCUUCUUGAUAUAGAUAACAUGGACAAACACACCAUUCAUAGUACAGAUUCGGCAGUGUGCAUAGAAAAAUGUCAUACUCACAAAAAUGAGAUGAUCAAGUUCUUCUGCACAAACCAUGAAUUUCUUGGAUGUAGUGAUUGUAUAACUCUGAAUCACAGCACAUGUAAAAUUGACUACAUACCUGAUAAAUGUGCAUGUAUUGGUGACUAGUGAUGAGUACCGGGAAACAAUGAUAGAACUGGAUCGAAAGAUGAAACAUAUGGAUGCUAUGCUCAAACAAGCAACACUACAAGACAAGGAGGUAGAUUCCUCCUAUGACCAUAUCAUAAAAGAAAUUAUUAAGUUCCGCAAAGAGAUAAAUGAUCGCUUAGAUCAGUUACAAAAGCAAAUUCAGACAGAGGCUAAUAAGAAGAAGUUCACAGAUAAACAAAGAGUCCAAAAGGUGAUUGAAACAUGUACUGCAGCUUCUUCAGAUAUCAUGAAAUUCAAGUCAAGUUUGCAAGACAGCAAGACCUCACAAAAGAAUGGACAACUCUACAUCCUGAUCAAACAAGCAAAAUCCAAGCGAAAGUUGGAUGAUCUGAAGAAUGUUCAAGAAUCUUUAGGUAAGGCCAGCAUUCAAUACACAUUUGAAAGAAACAAAGAAUUAGAGAACAUUCUUACUAAUCAAGAUGUAUUAGGUAAGCUGAACUUAUCCACUACCCUGGUGAAGAAAGAGCAGUUGAACCCAUCUACUACUUUGGUGACUCCAAGAAAGAAGAAUGUAUUUGAUAAAUUAACUCAGCAUAGGAGAUAUAAAUGUAAAGACAAAGUCAGAUAAAAAUAAAUGUAGGUAUCACAGGAUGUGCAGUAUUGUCUUCUGAUAGAGUGAUGUUGGCUGAUUACAACAACGAGAAACUGAAAGUAGUGGACACACAAUGCAAAGCUGUGAUACAAGAGAAGACACUUGACGCAGCCCCGUAUGACAUUGCUGUACUGCCUAAGGACCAAAUUGCAGGUGACAUUGCAAAGUAAGAAAGAGAUCCUUAUAAUGACAACGACUGAUAAACUGUCAGUCAACCGAAGUAUUUCAGUGAAAAAAAACUGUAGUGGUAUAACUUACCAUCAAGGUCAACUCUAUGUGGUUUGCUGGGAUCCUGAUAGUGUCCAUAUAAUUGAUACCCAAGGUAAUGUCAAUAACAUAAUCAACCUAGACAAUGAGAUAUGUGGCAGCCCAAACUACAUACUGCUCAGUAAAGAUGCCAAAUACAUCUACAUCAGUAACUACUUACAGCAACAGUGUUGUCAGUGUCACAUUACAGGGUGAUGUAUCAGAUGUAUACGAGAAUAAGGAUCUUAGUGGACCAGACGGAAUGAUGAUGUUGGAUGAUGGAUCAUUGCUGGUGUGCUUCAAUUAUGAAAGCACCAUUCAUCAUAUCUCAGGAGACUUGAAGCAAGGUCAGACAGCCUUAGAUGGAUUACAGCACCCACAGUCUAUAUGCUAUAAUCAUCAUCAACAAGAAGUCUAUAUUGGUGGACACUGUGAUCAGCUUAAGAUUAUGAAAUAGCAUACACUGUGUAAAUGAAGAAUCCAAAGCAUGUGUUUGCAAUAAGAUAGGUGGUAUUGUAGUUACAACGCCUUUGCUCUAACAGUGACCUUACCAUAGUGUCAAAAAACAACAACAACAAACAAACUUUUAACCUCUCAGCUAUAUCAAGCUACCUACAGACAAAGUUCUAUUACGAUAUAUAUCAUUCAUUGUUACUGAGUGGAUAUACAUUUUCUAUUUUUAGUAACAGUGAAUCAGUGCUUCGAAUAAACUUGUUAUACACCAAGCCUUUUAACAGUAUGUCAAUCCUAACUAAAUUAGUUUUUAUAAACUGGAAACCAGUAACUGUGAAGUUGACGCUAUGGCAUCUAAAUGGCCCUUUCCUUUACCAAUGCUCACCGAAACUUGCACAGUAAAAGAACAAAAGUAGAGUUAACUGACUGGGCACAUAUAAUUUAAAGGGCAAUAUGUCCCUUAAAACUACAUUCCAAUGGACAAAGAAGAAAAUAUGCGCUCUUCCUCUUGAGAGAGAAGCGUCUUAUGGAUUUGUGCUGAAUUCCAGGCAGAAGGUUGCUGUGAAAUUUUCUGACUAUGAUGGCGCUAUAAUAUACUAACGUUGAAGAAUCAAAGGGCAAUAAAUCUGUUCAGUGAAAGAAAUCAAACAGAAACAGGAAGAUAAUAAUUUAUGCACAUCUGCCUUUGAUAGUAAAGCUUCCAAUGAAGUAUGGCUAAAUUCCAAUCAGUGGUUGCUCAUAAAUACUCCGGAUAAGAAUUGUACUAUAAUAUACUACUCUAGAAUAAUUAAAGGGCAAUUACUCGGUACAUUGUAUAAUAUCAUCCGUCCGCAACACAAAUAUAAAAUGUGCAUCUCCAUUUGAUGAUGAACCUUUCUAUGAAGUAUGGCUAAAUUCCAACCAGUGGUUGAUGAGAAAUACUCCGGACAACGAGCUUUGACAGGUAAUAAUAUGGAAACUUUAUAUACUGACAUUUAGCUAACAUAACACAAAAGCUGAUGAUCCUGAUGUUGAUUUAUGUUUUACGGCGCACCACAGUGUAGGCUACAUACAGAUACUGCAUUUCAGCAUUUAUUCGUUCUUCACGGAAAGCAAUGAUCGUGAGAGUUCCAUCCAGAAAAUUUUGAAUUGCUAAAAUACAAUGCAGAGUCAUAACCUAUCAGCUACCUUAAAUGUUGUACUUACAACCACUACCUUAAAAUGUUGUAAUUUCAUUUGAUGACAGUGACUUUUCGUGUUACAUUAUUUGCAGCAAAGUGCUCUUGAACAGUAAGAGAAAUGCUUCAAAAUGACUAAAGCAUAAGAAACACUUUCAAAAUGAUCCAAUGAAUUGAAGAAUAUAACCAGUCUAGCUACGUUGUUACACAAAUGUGAUACCAAUUUUUUUUUUUUUGUAAUUUCUCGUUGUUGGAUUAUAUAUCUUAUAUUUCAGUAUAUAAAUUUAGUGUAAACCAAUGUAUCAUCAUUGAGAACAAUAAAUAACUUUGGCUGAAAGAUCAAAACGUAAUAACGUUUCUUAUUGUCGUAAAAUUUCUUUAAUGAAAUUUAUGCAUGAAUUAUGCAUUAUUUUAUUUUCAUGCACUACUAAACUUUCUAUCAGGGCCUCACUACAACUUAUAAAAUAACUGUCAAUGUAAG
rnacentral:misc_RNA from 1 species